rnacentral:rRNA from 1 species
UACGGAGGGUGCGAGCGUUGUCCGGAAUCACUGGGCGUAAAGGGUGCGUAGGCGGGUCUUUAAGUCAGGGGUGAAAUCCUGGAGCUCAACUCCAGAACUGCCUUUGAUACUGAGGAUCUUGAGUUCGGGAGAGGUGAGUGGAACUGCGAGUGUAGAGGUGAAAUUCGUAGAUAUUCGCAAGAACACCAGUGGCGAAGGCGGCUCACUGGCCCGGAACUGACGCUGAGGUGCGAAAGCGUGGGGAGCAAACAGGG